rnacentral:rRNA from 1 species
AUACGGAGGGUGCAAGCGUUGUUCGGAAUCACUGGGCGUAAAGGGCGCGCAGGCGGUUUGGUAAGUCAGAUGUGAAAGCCCAUGGCUCAACCAUGGAAGUGCAUUUGAAACUGUCAGACUUGAGUACUGGAGGGGAAAGUGGAAUUCCCGGUGUAGAGGUGAAAUUCGUAGAUAUCGGGAGGAAUACCGGUGGCGAAGGCGACUUUCUGGCUAGAUACUGACGCUGAGGCGCGAAAGCGUGGGGAGCAAACAGAAUUAGAAACCCCAGUAGUCC